CUCUGAUCCAUUCUUCCUGCUUGAGAAAGGACGAGGCGCCACAGAAGUAUCCGUUCUACUGUAUAAGGAAUAUUUGCUCUUUUCUAAAGCACUUCAGCAGUGAGUAAGAAGAAGCCAAGAGCAAUAAACACAAUCCUGUGAGGUCCUCCAUUCUCACACAGCUGGAGACCUUGAAUCCUUGGAAAACUGAACAAAAAGGAAGAAACUUGGCAAGCAAUUUUCCUUUGCUAUAAGGAGAAGCAAGAAAACAAAUCUCUAGAACAGAAAGGAACAAUUCAAAUAGCCCUGAAAUCUGUUUCAGUUGG